UACGUAGGCAGCGAGCGUUGUUCGGAGUUACUGGGCGUAAAGGGUGUGUAGGCGGUUGUUUAAGUUUGGGGUGAAAUCUCCCGGCUCAACUGGGAGGGUGCGCCGAAUACUGAAUGACUUCGAGUACGGGAGAGGUGAGUGGAAUUCCUGGUGUAGCGGUGAAAUGCGCAGAUAUCAGGAAGAACACCCGUGGCGAAAGCGGCUCUCUGGAACGGUACUGACGCUGAGACGCGAAAGCGUGGGGAGCGAACAGG
rnacentral:rRNA from 1 species